rnacentral:rRNA from 1 species
GACGAACGCUGGCGGCGUGCUUAACACAUGCAAGUCGAACGGAAAGGCCCAGCUUUUGUGGGGUGCUCGAGUGGCGAACGGGUGAGUAGCACGUGAGUAACCUGCCCUUGACUUUGGGAUAACUUCAGGAAACUGGGGCUAAUACCGGAUAGGAGCUCCUGCUGCAUGGUGGGGGUUGGAAAGUUUCGGCGGUUGGGGAUGGACUCGCGGCUUAUCAGCUUGUUGGUGGGGUAGUGGCUUACCAAGGCUUUGACGGGUAGCCGGCCUGAGAGGGUGACCGGCCACAUUGGGACUGAGAUACGGCCCAGACUCCUACGGGAGGCAGCAGUGGGGAAUAUUGCACAAUGGGCGGAAGCCUGAUGCAGCAACGCCGCGUGCGGGAUGACGGCCUUCGGGUUGUAAACCGCUUUCGCCUGUGACGAAGCGUGAGUGACGGUAAUGGGUAAAGAAGCACCGGCUAACUACGUG